GACGAACGCUGGCGGCGUGCUUAACACAUGCAAGUCGAACGGAAAGGCCCUGCUUUUGUGGGGUGCUCGAGUGGCGAACGGGUGAGUAACACGUGAGUAACCUGCCCUUGACUUUGGGAUAACUUCAGGAAACUCGGGCUAAUACCGGAUAGGAGCUCCUGCUGCAUGGUGUGGGUUGGAAAGUUUCGGCGGUUGGGGAUGGACUCGCGGCUUAUCAGCUUGUUGGUGGGGUAGUGGCUUACCAAGGCUUUGACGGGUAGCCGGCCUGAGAGGGUGACCGGCCACAUUGGGACUGAGAUACGGCCCAGACUCCUACGGGAGGCAGCAGUGGGGAAUAUUGCACAAUGGGCGGAAGCCUGAUGCAGCAACGCCGCGUGCGGGAUGACGGCCUUCGGGUUGUAAACCGCUUUCGCCUGUGACGAAGCGUGAGUGACGGUAAUGGGUAAAGAAGCACCGGCUAACUACGUG
rnacentral:rRNA from 1 species